rnacentral:lncRNA from 1 species
UUCAUAACACACCCUCUUUGUCUCUCUACCUCACGGCAGCCCCAAACACCCUCACUUCUUUCUUUUUCAUUUACUAAACUCACCAAUUUAAGCUUUGUUAAGCCAUUUUAAGAAGGUCUAACGUGCUUGCAUACAUGAAGCACCAUUAGAGAUCAUUUGGGAGCUUUCAAGCCUUCUUAAUCUUCAUCAUAAGGUCCAUAAAUCUUUGCAAAGUUAGUGUUUACAAAGAUGAUCUUGUGUUAUUACGCGCUAAUUGGAUACCCGAACUGCUAGCAUACAUACGGACGCAAACUUGUAACUAAGUGGAUCUUGGUGCAACGAAUUAUGAAGUUUCAAGUUUACUAUGAAGUCGAUGUCAUCCGUAUUUUGGAGGGUUUGAUCCAUAUAUUCCGUCUUCGAACGGGACAUAGGAUGCAAAACCUCGUUAUUUCAAAAACUUUAUUUUGAACAAGUCUUGUUUGUAAAACUUAUAAACUUAUGUCGUCUUUUGCUACAAAACAACUUAUGACUUGUAUCUUUACAUUAUGGAAUGGAUGAACAUCGUGUAUGUUUUAU